AUUGAACGCUGGCGGCAGGCCUAACACAUGCAAGUCGAACGGCAGCACAGAAGAGCUUGCUCUUUGGGUGGCGAGUGGCGGACGGGUGAGUAAUGUCUGGGAAACUGCCCGAUGGAGGGGGAUAACUACUGGAAACGGUAGCUAAUACCGCAUAACGUCGCAAGACCAAAGUGGGGGACCUUCGGGCCUCACACCAUCGGAUGUGCCCAGAUGGGAUUAGCUAGUAGGUGGGGUAAUGGCUCACCUAGGCGACGAUCCCUAGCUGGUCUGAGAGGAUGACCAGCCCCACUGGAACUGAGACACGGUCCAGACUCCUACGGGAGGCAGCAGUGGGGAAUAUUGCAUAAUGGGCGCAAGCCUGAUGCAGCCAUGCCGCGUGUAUGAAGAAGGCCUUCGGGUUGUAAAGUACUUUCAGCGGGGAGGAAGGCGGUGAGGUUAAUAACCUUGCCGAUUGACGUUACCCGCAGAAGAAGCACCGGCUAACUCCGUGCCAGCAGCCGCCGUAA
rnacentral:rRNA from 1 species